ncrna:Tribolium castaneum (red flour beetle) microRNA tca-mir-927a precursor
UUUCGGUUUAGAAUUCCUACGCUUUACCGUGUGAAAGGCUGGCAAAGCGUUUGGAUUCUGAAUCGAAC